UACGAAGGGGGCUAGCGUUGCUCGGAAUCACUGGGCGUAAAGGGUGCGUAGGCGGGUUUUUACGUUAGGGGUGAAAUCCUGGAGCUCAACUCCAGAACUGCCUUUGAUACUGAAGAUCUUGAGUCCGGGAGAGGUGAGUGGAACUGCGAGUGUAGAGGUGAAAUUCGUAGAUAUUCGCAAGAACACCAGUGGCGAAGGCGGCUCACUGGCCCGGUACUGACGCUGAGGCACGAAAGCGUGGGGAGCAAACAGG
rnacentral:rRNA from 1 species